ACUCUUCAGUAGUCUUUGGAUUUCGAAUUCCUAAAACCCCCUUCUCCAGACGCAUUGCUCACCCAAAUCCCGCUCGCAGCUGUCACCCGCCUCCAAAACCCUAGCCCGUGCUCGGCCGGCGACGAGGAUGCCUGGCAUGCCGACGACGGACGGCAGCGGCGCUAUCGUCGCAUUUAGAGGGGAGCCUGGCCAAGGGACGCCGUCGCCACCACCUGUGCGGCUUAUCCGCCACGGCGUGGCCCCGCCCAUCUUCCGCGUCUACAUCUCCUGGUCCAGCGGCAACCUUCUGCAGGUCGCGUGCCUCCGCCCGCCGAACUCAGAGGUGUACGGCGGCGCGGAGGGGGUCGCUGGGAGUGUGGUGGAGGUGAACCUCGGCUGCGGCAGCAGUGGUGGCGCGGAGGUCGAGGAGGAAAUUGACGAUGCAGAGAUGCGGCGGAUCGAGUACGGGUCGGUGCCGGCCUUUGCGCUGCUGCAGAGCAGAAAGAACGCCCUCGCUGAUGCUGCCGCUAUGUCGCGCAUGUCCGCAGUCCCUGAUUGCGCAGAAUGGUGGCAAUACGUGCUCGAAUACAGCAAAACCAUUGGCAAUCUCCUUGGGAACCCGGAUUCUUCCGCUGCUUUCAUGAUUGAAGACCCCAAGACAAUUCUUAAGGUUAGGGAGAAGCCCACAAGUUUAAGGGCUGCCUGGGAGUUGUUGGAGAUAUUCUAUGUUGAUAAACAGUUGCAAAGCUGGCUUCCUGAGCGUCUUGUUGAUUGGUUAGCCGAUUUUGACUGCCUCUUGUCAGCUAAGGAGAGCACAGUGUAUUCUAAACUCAGCAAUUUCCAGAAACAGCUCAUUAAUUUGCAGAUUGUUGAAGAUGACCCUGAUUACUGGAAUGGUUUGUCAGCAGCACUUUCGGUUGGGUGGCUUGACAUUGUGGUGAAUAUGCUACGGUUUCAUGGAUCAUAUCAAUUGGAUCAGAUGGAUAACCGUGAGACAGAAAAUGGAUUAGUCGAGGCUGUUGCUGUUCUUGUAUCAAUGAUGCCCCUCUUGAGACCGAAUUUACCAACCGGUAAAUUAGGCCAGUGCUGCAAAACAAGACCCGAUUUUAUCAAGGCAUGGGAAAAGUGGCGAGGUCAAGUAACUAAACUGGAGUGCAGUGCAUUUUGGAUCCAGUGUGGUCACCAAAAAACCCGUGAUGGUUUGAAAAAAUUGCUUCAUAUUAUGAUGGGGAACAUAAAGGAACUCACUGCUUCUACUUCCCAUUGGCUGGAGCUGUUUGCUUCUCAUUUUCUUUACAUAAGACCAUUUACAGUGGGUUUUGAAGGGAUGCACCAUUUAGCACAAAAAUGCAUACAGCUUAAGCCAUCCUCUGGCACUAAUGGAUUAAUAGGCCUCGUUAUUGGUGUCCUUUCAGAAAACCCAGAGGUUAUCCUGGCAGAAUGCACACAAAAUUUUGGCCCAUGGUUUGUCACGCAUGCUAUGGAACUGCUGACAGCUGAUAAUGACUAUGCUGAUACAAUGUUGCAUGAAGAGCGGCCUAACUUAGGUGGUAUAAGCAUAGAGGAACUACACCGGCUAGUCUAUGCUCAAGUUUUGUGCUCUCAUUCUUUAACUUGGCAGAUUGCGCCGACUUAUCUGUCUUCAUGUCUAAACCAAGGCCUAGGGCUCUUGGAGAUUCUACUUCUCAAGCAACCUAUACAAGAUAAUCGCCUAGUACUCAAGACUAUGGAAAUUUGCCGUUUGUAUGAACUGGACAAUGUUAGCGCAAACAUAAUGAAGAUUGCUGGCAUUUACCAUUGGAAACAUGGGCGAAAAGGGGCUGGUGUAUACUGGUUCCAGCAAGCUCAUGAUAAAGUUCGUCUUGACAGAAUUGCUCAACAGUUAUUUGAACGCAUUGGGAAGUCAGUCACAGAUGAUAGUUUUAAGCAAUGGGAAGGGCUGCUCGAGCUACUUGGUCCUGAUAUUGGUAGUGCUGGUGGUCUCGAGUUUCUUCAUAGGUACCGUGACUUUAAGAGGUCUCUGCAACAAGCUUUAGAUGGAAGGUCUGGUGAGGCUGCUCGGCAAACUGUAGAUUUUCUUAUACAGCUUAUGAGGAACCCAUCCACACCGCAACGAUUCUGGCUGCCCCUUUUACAUGAUUCAGUGGAGCUACUUAAUUGCAAACCCAGUCCACUAAUGAAUGUUGCUGAGACGACCUUGUUGCUCAACAAGCUGCAAGAGCUGUUGCUCGCCAAGCUGCGCCCUGAUUUUUCGAACAGUCACCUACCAAGCCAUGCGUUGAGCUCCGUGAGAUUGGCUGUGGCAUCGAAUCUGGCACGUGCCAUCCUUGAAGACCCCUGAGUCGAGCACAGUGUAGCACAAGUUUGCUGGUGAAUUGUCGUCAUGUUCCCUUGUUUAUCAGACUUGAGAAACGGUUGAUAUUGGGUCUGCUCUGGACGAGCAGUUGUGCUAUAGAUGUACCGUACAUUGUACUUUAGUUUAGUGCGUGCGGCGAAUAGAUCAUAAUCAUUGUAGUUUGAAGGAAAAAAGAACCUAUUAGCAUGUUGUUGCUUGUAAACACUUUCUUCUGCGGAGUAUACUUUUGUUGUGAAAAAGAGAACAAAAUGAUCUGGUCGGUCAACUGC